rnacentral:rRNA from 1 species
GCUUUACUGUAACCUGGAAUUGGGUUCGGCCUUUUUGCGCAGACUAAGUGGAGGCGUAGAAAAUUUCUUUCGGAAAAUUGAGCCAUUAUUGAGAGACCACUCUGGAAGAGCUAGAAUCCUAAUAGUGAUCCUUGUAUCAGGAUAAUUGACAGUUUCAGGUAGGCAGUUUCUCUGGGCGGAGGCCUCCUAAAAGGUAACGGAGGCGCGCAAAGGUUCCUCAGGCUGGACGGAAUCAGCCGAAGAAUGUAAAGGUAUAAGGGAGCUUGACUGCAAGACCUACAAGUCGAGCAGGGCGAAAGCCGGCCUUAGUGAUCGACGGUACCGACG